UAUCUAGAUAGUUUAAGAAGAAUGGAGAUUUGUGGAGUCUCAGGUACUGGUUAUUCUGGAUU
rnacentral:tRNA from 1 species